rnacentral:rRNA from 1 species
AUGCUCUCGCGUGUUCUUGGGGAUGUCUCAUCACGGGUCUGCGACUCUGGGAGGAAGCGAGCGGUCCGUCGAUCGGUUUGGGUCACCGUCUGGUUGCGAACUAACAAGUCCGUCCGUUUGAGAAACUUCUGUUCCUGCGUUCCGUGUUCACGGUGGAGCGAUGGUUCCUGCGUUUACUUCUCUUCCUGGUUAUCUGACGAUCCCGUGUUUCGUGUUCGCGUCGGGUCGACAGUGUGCGGUUCUGGUUUCGAAAUUGGAGCAGUGUCAAAUCCGUUCCUGUGUUCCAUCACCUGCGUUGUUCGUCCUCUGUCGAUUCUUGUUCUACCGGCAGGCAUGUGUGCUCCCAUCCUAGAUGCAGCGAGUCUUGUUCUUGUCUGUUACGGUUAUUCUGAUGGUGUUCUUUCCAACUUGUUUCUUGCUAUCAUGCUUUGCUUAUGUUCCAAUAUACGAUGUUGUGUGUUCAACUUGUUUCUUGCUAUCAUGCUUUGCUUAUGUUCCAAUAUAUGA